rnacentral:tRNA from 1 species
CCGACUUAGGAACCGAAGGUCGGGGGUUCGAGUCCAACAUUG